rnacentral:rRNA from 1 species
UACAGAGGUCUCAAGCGUUGUUCGGAUUCAUUGGGCGUAAAGGGUGCGUAGGCGGCGCGGUAAGUCGGGUGUGAAAUCUCGGAGCUUAACUCCGAAACUGCAUUCGAUACUGCCGUGCUUGAGGACUGGAGAGGAGACUGGAAUUUACGGUGUAGCGGUGAAAUGCGUAGAUAUCGUAAGGAAGACCAGUGGCGAAGGCGGGUCUCUGGACAGUUCCUGACGCUGAGGCGCGAAAGCUAGGGGGAGCGAACAGG